UGGGUGCAUAUCAAUAAGCGGAGGAAAAGAAACCAACAGGGAUUGCCCUAGUAACGGCGAGUGAAGCGGCAACAGCUCAAAUUUGAAAUCUGGCUCUCGGGCCCGAGUUGUAAUUUGUAGAGGAUACUUUUGAUGCGGUGCCUUCCGAGUUCCCUGGAACGGGACGCCAUAGAGGGUGAGAGCCCCGUCUGGUUGGAUGCCAAAUCUCUGUAAAGUUCCUUCAACGAGUCGAGUAGUUUGGGAAUGCUGCUCUAAAUGGGAGGUAUAUGUCUUCUAAAGCUAAAUACCGGCCAGAGACCGAUAGCGCACAAGUAGAGUGAUCGAAAGAUGAAAAGCACUUUGAAAAGAGAGUUAAAAAGUACGUGAAAUUGUUGAAAGGGAAGCGUUUAUGACCAGACUUGGGCUUGGUUAAUCAUCUGGGGUUCUCCCCAGUGCACUUUUCCAGCUCAGGCCAGCAUCAGUUUUCCCCGGGGGAUAAAGGCGGAGGGAAUGUGGCUCUCUUCGGGGAGUGUUAUAGCCCACCGUGUAAUACCCUGGGGGGGGUGGUUCGCGCAUCGCAAGGAUGCGGCGAAGGUACAAUCAGU
rnacentral:rRNA from 1 species